AUGAUUUACUGUGAUACAACUAAGCAUAAAAUAAUAUGUGUAGUAGAGGAUUCUGUUUUAGUUUGUCAGAGUGUUUUUUUACAGGUCAGAAAGUCCAACUCCAUGAGCUACCAUGACAGAUUUCAAAUAAAAAAAUUCAGGGGGUUCCUGCACCAGCCAGACUGUGUCAUUGAGUGGUGGGAAACGCAUGACAGGUGUGCAGUGAGAGAUGGUUCCAUGCCGUCGCCGCUUCCCCUGGGCGUGACCGCGGUCAGACUGCUGUUCCAGCCCGAUGGGUUCAGGUACCCAUGUGGCCAAGAGAAGAAAAUACGAGAAAAAGAGACGAUUAACAUGAGACUGCUUUGACACUGCUAAUUUAGGAAAAACUGUGAGUGAUUUUGUUGUAAAAAGAAGAAAUAAUAUAAGGGAGAAAAAGAAAAGAUGAAUUUAAGUCAUUUUACUUUUAUUAGCCCCUUUACAGCCCCUUUACUUGUGUUUUUUCUAUCAAGACAACUCUUGGAAGCUUUAAGCAUGGUAAUGUAUAUGCCAAUGUUAAUAUAUUUGUUCUUGCCAGAAUAGGUCUUCUGUGCUGCUGGAUUUCUGCUGUUGUUGUAGAUUAUUACUGCAAAAAAAAAAAAAAAUAAAGGAAAUUGCUACUGCCA
ensembl:lncRNA